rnacentral:rRNA from 1 species
UACUUUGCUGACGACCGGCGCACGGGUGAGUAACGCGUAUGUAACCUACCUUGUACAGGGAGAUAGCCCGGAGAAAUUCGGAUUAAUAUCCCAUAAUGAUAUCGGAUGGCAUCAUUUGAUAUUUAAAGUUCCGACGGUACAGGAUGGGCAUGCGUGACAUUAGCUAGUUGGUAGGGUAACGGCCCACCAAGGCUGCGAUGUCUAGGGGUCCUGAGAGGGUGAUCCCCCACACUGGUACUGAGACACGGACCAGACUCCUACGGGAGGCAGCAGUGAGGAAUAUUGGUCAAUGGGCGCAAGCCUGAACCAGCCAUCCCGCGUGAAGGAAGAAGGCGCUAUGCGUUGUAAACUUCUUUUUCAGGGGAAGAAAAUCUUUUACGUGUAGAGGAUUGACGGUACCCUGUGAAUAAGCAUCGGCUAACUCCGUGCCAGCAGCCGCGGUAAUACGGAGGAUGCGAGCGUUAUCCGGAUUUAUUGGGUUUAAAGGGUGCGUAGGCGGAUUAAUAAGUCAGUGGUGAAAACCUGCAGCUUAACUGUAGAACUGCCAUUGAUACUGUUAGUCUUGAGUAC